rnacentral:rRNA from 1 species
AUUGAACGCUGGCGGCAGGCUUAACACAUGCAAGUCGAGCGGGGGAGGUUGCUUCGGUAACUGACCUAGCGGCGGACGGGUGAGUAAUGCUUAGGAAUCUGCCUAUUAGUGGGGGACAACAUUCCGAAAGGAACGCUAAUACCGCAUACGUCCUACGGGAGAAAGUGGGGGCUCUUCGGACCUCACGCUAUCGGAUGAGCCUAGGUCGGAUUAGCUAGUUGGUGGGGUAAAGGCUCACCAAGGCGACGAUCCGUAACUGGUCUGAGAGGAUGAUCAGUCAGACUGGAACUGAGACACGGUCCAGACUCCUACGGGGGGCAGCAGUGGGGAAUAUUGGACAAUGGGCGAAAGCCUGAUCCAGCCAUGCCGCGUGUGUGAAGAAGGUCUUCGGAUUGUAAAGCACUUUAAGUCGGGAGGAAGGGUUGUAGGUUAAUACCUUGCAGCCUUGACGUUACCGACAGAAUAAGCACCGGCUAACUUCGUGCCAGCCGCCGCGGUAACAC